rnacentral:rRNA from 1 species
UGGGGAAUAUUGGACAAUGGGCGGAAGCCUGAUCCAGCCAUGCCGCGUGUGUGAAGAAGGCCUUUUGGUUGUAAAGCACUUUAAGCGAGGAGGAGGCUACUUGGAUUAAUACUCUAGGAUAGUGGACGUUACUCGCAGAAUAAGCACCGGCUAACUCUGUGCCAGCAGCCGCGGUAAUACAGAGGGUGCGAGCGUUAAUCGGAUUUACUGGGCGUAAAGCGUGCGUAGGCGGCUUCUUAAGUCGGAUGUGAAAUCCCUGAGCUUAACUUAGGGAUUGCAUUCGAUACUGGGAAGCUAGAGUAUGGGAGAGGAUGGUAGAAUUCCAGGUGUAGCGGUGAAAUGCGUAGAGAUCUGGAGGAAUACCGAUGGCGAAGGCAGCCAUCUGGCCUAAUACUGACGCUGAGGUACGAAAGCAUGGGGAGCAAACAGG